AUUGAACGCUGGCGGCAGGCCUAACACAUGCAAGUCGAGCGGUAACACAGGGAGCUUGCUCCCGGGUGACGAGCGGCGGACGGGUGAGUAAUGUCUGGGAAACUGCCUGAUGGAGGGGGAUAACUACUGGAAACGGUAGCUAAUACCGCAUAACGUCGCAAGACCAAAGAGGGGGACCUUCGGGCCUUUUGCCAUCAGAUGUGCCCAGAUGGGAUUAGCUAGUAGGUGGGGUAACGGCUCACCUAGGCGACGAUCCCUAGCUGGUCUGAGAGGAUGACCAGCCACACUGGAACUGAGAACCGGUCCAGACUCCUACGGGAGGCAGCAGUGGGGAAUAUUGCACAAUGGGCGCAAGGCUGAUGCAGCCAUGCCGCGUGUAUGAAGAAGGCCUUCGGGUUGUAAAGUACUUUCAGCGGGGAGGAAGGCGAUAAGGUUAAUAACCUUGUCGAUUGACGUUACCCGCAGAAGAAGCACCGGCUAACACCGUGCCAGCCGCCGCCGUAA
rnacentral:rRNA from 1 species